GAUGAACGCUAGCUACAGGCUUAACACAUGCAAGUCGAGGGACCGGCGCACGGGUGAGUAACACGUAUCCAACCUGCCCUUUACUCUGGGAUAGCCUUUCGACAGAAAGAUUAAUACCCGCUAUAAAGGAUGGGGAUGCGUUCCAUUAGGUUGUUGGUGAGGUAACGGCCCACAAAGCCUUCGAUGGAUAGGGGUUCUGAGAGGAAGGUCCCCCACAUUGGAACUGAGACACGGUCCAAACUCGUAAGGGAGGCAGAAGUGAGGAAAAUUGGUCAAUGGGCGCUAGCCUGAACCAGCCAAGUAGCGUGAAGGAUGAAGGCUGAUGAGUAGUAAACUUCGUUUAUAUAAGAAUAUGUAUUAUAUGAAUAAGGAUCGGCUAACUCCGUGCCAGCAGCCGCGGUAAUAC
rnacentral:rRNA from 1 species